CACUAAGUCCCUUUGGGCCUCAGUUUUUCCAUCUGUAAAGUGAAGAGGUCAGAACUAGCUGAUAUGGAAGCUCUCUUCCAGGUUUAAAGUCUAUACUAAUUGUCCUCAUCACUCUAUGUGGUUCCUCUUUUUAGGAUGGUAUUAACUGCCCUAGGAAGAGUUUAAUGCCUACUCAGUUUUGGCCACAGCAAAGGAAGGUGAGCCCAAACCACUGCAGGAAUUACCAUUUUCCCUUAAGCAAUAGGGGAACUGGGCCCUUGGAAAAUGCUCAUAGCUCCAGGAGCCAGAAAUCUGCACGGAUUCAUGGCACAGGUGUGUUUCACAAAUCUCAGCUGCUCCCCUAACCACGUCCAAUAGUCUUAGGCGGACCCUAGUAAGACUACAGCUGUUAGGUCCCCCUGACAUUAUUGUAGGGGGUUAGGGAGCAGCUGAGCUGUCCUCGGGUCCCCCAAAGGAUGAUGCCGGCUCUGCAGAGUUUCGUCCUAGCUGGAGAAGGAAGCGACGUGUUCCAGGGGAGAAACGGUGAGCUUGGUGGUUUGGGAGCAUCCGCGUCAAUUCCCCCUUGAGAUUAUCUGCUCAGGGAAAGUGGGAAGGGUGAGGGAGGGGACGAUGACCGACAGCAGGUGAAUCAUCUGUGAUCUCGUUUUUCUCAGGCUUUCUUGACUUUUUUUUUAUCCCCUUAAUGCUCGAGAAAACGAAAGCUGCCCUUGCUGAAAACGAGUUGCUUUUGAAACUUGUCCUGGCAGGAAGGAGGAGGAAGGAACUCGGCCUUCCUACCCUGGAAGACAGGCAGCAAGAGGGUCGGCUGUAGGUGUAAUAGACUUGGACUGCUGACUUGGCGUCUUGCUGCCCGGUAAAAGCUGCUUGUGCUUGGAGGAGUGGACGCUUCCUACAGUCUUGGUAGCUGCGGGGGAGCCCUCCUGAGAUUGAGAGCCAGCUUUGGCGAGACUGGGAUUCCUGGACCAUCGGGCAUUCUUGUAAGAGAACUCCGUGCAUGCCUGGCUAGAUUGUUCUGAAGGAACGGAGUUUCCUGGCCAGGUGGGUGCAAUAGUUGAUUCAGUAUCUCAUUGCUUGGAUUAAUUUUUAAAAUUCAGGAGUGGGAGCGCCACUAGAAUCUAGAGGGC
rnacentral:lncRNA from 1 species